rnacentral:rRNA from 1 species
GACGCGGGAUCCUAGCGUUGCUCGGAAUCAUUGGGCGUAAAGCGGGUGUAGGUGGCUUUGUAAGUCGGGUGUGAAAGCCCAGGGCUCAACCCUGGAAGUGCAUUCGAUACUGCUAAGCUUGAGUGCGAGAGAGGUUAAUAGAAUACCUGGUGUAGUGGUGAAAUACGUAGAUAUCAGGUGGAACACCGGAGGCGAAGGCGGUUAACUGGCUCGACACUGACACUGAGACCCGAAAGUGCGGGGAUCAAACAGG